rnacentral:rRNA from 1 species
AGUGAACGCUGGCGGCGUGCUUAACACAUGCAAGUCGAACGAGAACGGAAUAUAGCUUGCUAUAUUUGUCAGCUAAGUGGCGCACGGGUGAGUAAUGUAUAGAUAACCUGCCCUUAAGAAAGGAAUAACAGUUGGAAACGACUGCUAAUGCCCUAUAUGCCUUUAAUACAUAAGUAUGCAAGGGAAACGCUUUAGUGCUUAAGGAUGGGUCUGUAUGGUAUCAGCUUGUUGGUGAGGUAAUGGCUCACCAAGGCUAUGACGCCUAACUGGUUUGAGAGGAUGAUCAGUCACACUGGAACUGAGACACGGUCCAGACUCCUACGGGAGGCAGCAGUGGGGAAUAUUGCACAAUGGACGAAAGUCUGAUGCAGCAACGCCGCGUGGAGGAUGACACAUUUCGGUGCGUAAACUCCUUUUAUUUGAUCAUGAAGAUUGGAUGAAUAAGCACCUACUAACUACGUGCCAGCAGCCGCCGUAA